AAUGGGUCAGCGACUUAUAUUCUGUAGCAAGGUUAACCGAAUAGGGGAGCCGAAGGGAAACCGAGUCUUAACUGGGCGUUAAGUUGCAGGGUAUAGACCCGAAACCCGGUGAUCUAGCCAUGGGCAGGUUGAAGGUUGGGUAACACUAACUGGAGGACCGAACCGACUAAUGUUGAAAAAUUAGCGGAUGACUUGUGGCUGGGGGUGAAAGGCCAAUCAAACCGGGAGAUAGCUGGUUCUCCCCGAAAGCUAUUUAGGUAGCGCCUCGUGAAUUCAUCUCCGGGGGUAGAGCACUGUUUCGGCAAGGGGGUCAUCCCGACUUACCAACCCGAUGCAAACUGCGAAUACCGGAGAAUGUUAUCACGGGAGACACACGGCGGGUGCUAACGUCCGUCGUGAAGAGGGAAACAACCCAGACCGCCAGCUAAGGUCCCAAAGUCAUGGUUAAGUGGGAAACGAUGUGGGAAGGCCCAGACAGCCAGGAUGUUGGCUUAGAAGCAGCCAUCAUUUAAAGAAAGCGUAAUAGCUCACUGGUCGAGUCGGCCUGCGCGGAAGAUGUAACGGGGCUAAACCAUGCACCGAAGCUGCGGCAGCGACACUGUGUGUUGUUGGGUAGGGGAGCGUUCUGUAAGCCUGUGAAGGUGUGCUGUGAGGCAUGCUGGAGGUAUCAGAAGUGCGAAUGCUGACAUAAGUAACGAUAAAGCGGGUGAAAAGCCCGCUCGCCGGAAGACCAAGGGUUCCUGUCCAACGUUAAUCGGGGCAGGGUGAGUCGACCCCUAAGGCGAGGCCGAAAGGCGUAGUCGAUGGGAAACAGGUUAAUAUUCCUGUACUUGGUGUUACUGCGAAGGGGGGACGGAGAAGGCUAUGUUGGCCGGGCGACGGUUGUCCCGGUUUAAGCGUGUAGGCUGGUUUUCCAGGCAAAUCCGGAAAAUCAAGGCUGAGGCGUGAUGACGAGGCACUACGGUGCUGAAGCAACAAAUGCCCUGCUUCCAGGAAAAGCCUCUAAGCAUCAGGUAACAUCAAAUCGUACCCCAAACCGACACAGGUGGUCAGGUAGAGAAUACCAAGGCGCUUGAGAGAACUCGGGUGAAGGAACUAGGCAAAAUGGUGCCGUAACUUCGGGAGAAGGCACGCUGAUAUGUAGGUGAAGUCCCUCGCGGAUGGAGCUGAAAUCAGUCGAAGAUACCAGCUGGCUGCAACUGUUUAUUAAAAACACAGCACUGUGCAAACACGAAAGUGGACGUAUACGGUGUGACGCCUGCCCGGUGCCGGAAGGUUAAUUGAUGGGGUCAGCGCAAGCGAAGCUCUUGAUCGAAGCCCCGGUAAACGGCGGCCGUAACUAUAACGGUCCUAAGGUAGCGAAAUUCCUUGUCGGGUAAGUUCCGACCUGCACGAAUGGCGUAAUGAUGGCCAGGCUGUCUCCACCCGAGACUCAGUGAAAUUGAACUCGCUGUGAAGAUGCAGUGUACCCGCGGCAAGACGGAAAGACCCCGUGAACCUUUACUAUAGCUUGACACUGAACAUUGAGCCUUGAUGUGUAGGAUAGGUGGGAGGCUUUGAAGUGUGGACGCCAGUCUGCAUGGAGCCGACCUUGAAAUACCACCCUUUAAUGUUUGAUGUUCUAACGUGGACCCGUGAUCCGGGUUGCGGACAGUGUCUGGUGGGUAGUUUGACUGGGGCGGUCUCCUCCUAAAGAGUAACGGAGGAGCACGAAGGUUGGCUAAUCCUGGUCGGACAUCAGGAGGUUAGUGCAAUGGCAUAAGCCAGCUUGACUGCGAGCGUGACGGCGCGAGCAGGUGCGAAAGCAGGUCAUAGUGAUCCGGUGGUUCUGAAUGGAAGGGCCAUCGCUCAACGGAUAAAAGGUACUCCGGGGAUAACAGGCUGAUACCGCCCAAGAGUUCAUAUCGACGGCGGUGUUUGGCACCUCGAUGUCGGCUCAUCACAUCCUGGGGCUGAAGUAGGUCCCAAGGGUAUGGCUGUUCGCCAUUUAAAGUGGUACGCGAGCUGGGUUUAGAACGUCGUGAGACAGUUCGGUCCCUAUCUGCCGUGGGCGCUGGAGAACUGAGGGGGGCUGCUCCUAGUACGAGAGGACCGGAGUGGACGCAUCACUGGUGUUCGGG
rnacentral:rRNA from 1 species